UACGGAGGAUGCGAGCGUUAUCCGGAUUUAUUGGGUUUAAAGGGUGCGUAGGCGGUCCGUUAAGUCAGCGGUAAAAUUGCGGGGCUCAACCCCGUCGAGCCGUUGAAACUGUCAGACUUGAGUUGGCGAGAAGUACGCGGAAUGCGUGGUGUAGCGGUGAAAUGCAUAGAUAUCACGCAGAACUCCGAUUGCGAAGGCAGCGUACCGGCGCCCAACUGACGCUGAAGCACGAAGGCGUGGGUAUCGAACAGG
rnacentral:rRNA from 1 species